rnacentral:rRNA from 1 species
GAUGAACGCUGACAGAAUGCUUAACACAUGCAAGUCAACUUGAAUUUGGGUUUUUACCUUAGGUCUGGGUGGCGGACGGGUGAGUAACGCGUAAAGAACUUGCCUCACAGCUAGGGACAACAUUUGGAAACGAAUGCUAAUACCUAAUAUUAUGAUAAUAGGGCAUCCUAUAAUUAUGAAAGCUAUAAGCGCUGUGAGAGAGCUUUGCGUCCCAUUAGCUAGUUGGAGAGGUAACGGCUCACCAAGGCGAUGAUGGGUAGCCGGCCUGAGAGGGUGAUCGGCCACAAGGGGACUGAGACACGGCCCUUACUCCUACGGGAGGCAGCAGUGGGGAAUAUUGGACAAUGGACCAAGAGUCUGAUCCAGCAAUUCUGUGUGCACGAUGAAGUUUUUCGGAAUGUAAAGUGCUUUCAGUUGGGAAGAAAGAAAUGACGGUACCAACAGAAGAAGUGACGGCUAAAUACGUG